rnacentral:rRNA from 1 species
GCCGGGCAGCCACGCGCCAGUCGAUAAGGCCUGAAAGCAUCUAAGGCCGAAGCGAUUCUCGAAAAUAGGC